ensembl:lncRNA
AAAUCUAUCUUAUCUUAAAAGAAUGCACCCUCUUCAUUUUUUAAAAAGGAUCAUUUUAAAGCUGCUGAGGGUUUUCCAAACAAAAGAAAAACUGUCUUGGCAAAACCGCAUCAAAUUUCAGAGACCAAAGAAGCUGAUGAAAGUGAUCCGGAUGCUCAAGGGUGAGGUCUGGGAGUGGGAGGGCCUUAUCCUGCUGUUUGAGAGAAUAUCUACGUUGGGGACUUGGAAAUCUGUUUCACUGUAAUGGUGGAAAACCAGCAGUAAUUCUGAAAAAAAUAUGGUUGCUGCAACCAGGAAAAGCAGAUUUCAAAGUACAAAGCAAGUCACCACAGGCAAUGCCAGUGAGGCAUUCCAGUGACACCAGAGCCCUUGAACAAAGCUGGAGCCCAGGUGACCUCCACAGGGCCCACUCCAGCAUUACUCCCUUUUUCAGGAUGAACAUUUGGGCUUUUACCCUGUGAAUGUGCCAGGCUCCACAAGGCCAAGGUCAGUCCCUCAGCCCUCCUGGAACACCCUGAUCUUUUCUAGGUACAAGUUUGCACGAUUCUAGGUACGAGUUUGCAGGAUGACCUCAGGUGGUUGGAGGGAAGAGAGCAGGAGCAGGACUAAAGAGAAAGGCAAUUCUUGGGGUCCAUUUCUUGAGACUGAUUCUUAGGAAAGAAAAAGAAAAAGCCACAGCAUAGUUUGCUUUCCUGUCCAUUUUCCCCUGAAAAGUAAUACUAUCCAUAACUAAGUGUAGGGCAAGAGGAGAAUUGACCUGCUAGUUAAGGCUGCCUCCUCUCCUCAGGGGAUCAUGAGCUUUGACCAGGAUAACCAGCUCGUUUUAGAGCACAUUAAGCACUAGACAGGGUAACAAACAGCUUCCUUUCAAAGCGUAAGAAAGCAAAAUGACAAAGUGGCCUGAGGUGGAAAAGCAAUGAUCAGAAACAUUAAAAAUAAUAGCAGCUGACAGAUAACAUUUAGGACCAGGGACCUCAUCCUCUGCUGGUUAUUAAUAUUCCUGCUCUCCUAUUAUCUUUUUGACGGGAAUGUAAACUCCGUUUGUCUUGGGAUAAACGCGAUACCAGAGCUGAGCAGAUAAGGAGGCGCUUAAUACGUAAUUGUUGGUGUAAACAAAUAAAUAGAUUGUAACGAUGUCAGAAAUGAUUAGUUCAGGUGGAGAGUGCGACUGGCUUCCAAAUAUUGGUCAAGAGCUCUAAGUAGGAUGAGCCAAGGAUACAGUUAAUGUAAUAGGUUCACACGAUCAGGUGACUUUUUUGGGUCUAGAAAUCUGAGGAGGUGAGGAUGUACUGAACGGCAGUCUUCCUGCGAGGAAAGAGUUAAAAACACAUCCAGAUCAGGGUUUCUGAGGGACAAGGUGUUCAGGGCCUCCCUUUCUGCCGGCUGCUCCCCCACGCAGCAGGGGUGAUGCGGACCUUCCGGUCCUGCUGAGUGUGCUUGACCAAAGGUGACGAUGACUAAGGGCUAAGGCCGUGCCCUCCCUCCCUCCAAAUCGAUCCUUUAAUGUGACUUAUCAGAAAGAGAAAGAACUGUUUACUUUCAAACCCUGGAUCCCAUAAAGGGAGAGGGGCAAGGCCUAAAACCCUCACAAGCUCGAGGCUUGGCCCACACAGCCUGCAGAACUAGGGAGCGCGGAAGACACCAUCUCACGGGCACAGAAGGGGCCCUGGGCCCAGAGAAGACCUUCGCACACCCCCCACAUUCCAGCGCCUUCCAACUCCCCUGUGUGAAUUAGGCUGUUCCUCUGGGGCACCACUGACUUCCAGAUGUGGGGUGAGCUGCGACCCAGGUGUUUAUAAAAAGACAUUCCCCGCUCCACCCCCACCCCCGGAGCUAUGUGCUGUGUUCUCUGCACAUUUGAAUUUGUCUGCCAUGGUUAUUCUAUUUCUUCAGAAAGCCUGAGAAAACUGGAGUCUUUGCUAAAGCUUCUUCUCUCCCCAGAGGAAGGAAAGGAUGAGGCUAGGGAGGAGUCUACACCUGGAGGUGGCGUGGAUUUUUAGUUCCGGCCUUGGAGGAGCUGUGUAGGAAGCCAUUUCCGGUUUAACGAUGGCCUGACUUCACAAUAAACACCAAGAUUCCACCAUUAGGAUACUUAGAAUUUGAAGGUUCAUUUGACCAGGAAUCCUCCCCUCCCCAUGCUUGGGAGCAGGCACAGCCCCAAGGCUCACUCUAUUUUGUUCCUCUACUCCUGAAACACCAGCAUCGGACUUGUUUCUCUGUCCCCCUGGUAUUGGUCCCUCGACAGCACUGGAAAUAGCUGGACAACCGCACAGAAAUGAAACCAGUUCCUAGGAAUCCCCCAGCCUCAGCAACUCUCUUUAAAAAGGGUCCGUUGAGACCCCAGCUUGGCUGAGAAUUUGCCCCAGGAUCCCCUCUUGGCUGGAGGUAAUGGUGUAACAGAUGUGGCAUAAGCUUUCCAGAUUUCCCCUUCUAGCUGAAUUUCAAUCAGAAAAGAAAGACUUCCCUGCUCCCUAUUGAGGAGAACAUUCUAUUUUAAAAUUUUCAUGUGCUUUCAAAAUGACAAGACUCAGGCAUAUGCUACUGACUUGCUUUGUCUUCUAGACUAUAAUAGCCUCUAAGAAUCAAACGGAUGCAUUUAACACAUCUAACUGCAAUGACAGAAAAUGUGGAUUUGGAAUUAAGAAAAAGCACAUCCAUUUAUCAUUUGCUUUUUAAGAAUCUUUUUUAGGUGCUGAAGGGUUAGGUUGGCAGCAAAGUGACACUUCACUUCCCCAAAGCAUUCUUUUCUCAGCCCUCUGGAGGUGGCCCUAGAAUGUUCUCAGACCCUGGGAAACAAAAUCUGAAAGCGAAGAUGAGCUGCUUGUGCCCCGAUCUGACCUGAGAUAGCAUAGGGAGUUUUAUGAUGUUCUUGGUACUUGCGAAUCUGAAAUAUCUUCCGAGGAGCUGUGAUGCACACGGAACACUCACAAGAGUAAUGAAAGCCUGAAGCAUCCAGGGCCUCCCUGGAGCAGCAGAGGGGAGCUCAGACGCCGCGAUGAGAUUCUGGGAAGUGAAAUGGGCUCAAGAUCUCGACCACUAGAGAGCUCUCCAAGCAUGCCCUACCAGGACCUUUGUCACUGGUGAACUGUUUCCUCCCCAAGAUUCUUUCCAGCUGAGCUAAGAGAUUUCUGGAGCCUCUCGCCAUGGUCAGAACAUCUCUUGAAUGACCAGGAAAUGGGGCUUCCUGUUUAAAUCUCUCGGGCAGAGACAAGGCAGAUGAGCCUGCCUAAGUCUUUAGAAAGAGCUGUAGGGAAGACCAGAGAUGGCUCAUCAUGCCAGGAUGUCCACUGUGGCCGCACCCAGUGUGCCAGAGGUCUAUGGCAGCGAUAGGGGUUACCUGGGAAUCUAGGGUUGGUAUUCGGUGUGAGUCUUGGUGAAAGUGCCCAGGGGAAAAGUUCCCAUGAAGACAGUGAGUCUAACAGUGGCCAAGUGGCACCUUCCUGCUGCCUGGCACACCUGUAAAGGUGAGCCAGGGUCACAGACAGGAGCUGGAGGAUGUCAGUCACAAACAAAUCAAAAUAGUGAAACAGAAAACAAGGGGCUGAUGCUGCACAGUUAAAACAUAUAUAUGUUAUAGAUCUUGAUAGAACUGGAAAGAAAAAAAAAAAAAAAAAGGCAGGAUCAACACUCCAGUCCCAUGGAAGCCGAGUGGCUUUCGUGGUGUGUUAACAACGGCACAGUCCAGGCUAAAGAGGGUGGUUUCAUGUUGAAUAAGGGGAAUUUUUACUAAAAAAAAAAAAAAAAAAAU